GACGAACGCUGGCGGCGUGCCUAAUACAUGCAAGUUGAGCGCUGAAGGUUGGUACUUGUACCAACUGGAUGAGCAGCGAACGGGUGAGUAACGCGUGGGGAAUCUGCCUUUGAGCGGGGGACAACAUUUGGAAACGAAUGCUAAUACCGCAUAAAAACUUUAAACACAAGUUUUAAGUUUGAAAGAUGCAAUUGCAUCACUCAAAGAUGAUCCCGCGUUGUAUUAGCUAGUUGGUGAGGUAAAGGCUCACCAAGGCGAUGAUACAUAGCCGACCUGAGAGGGUGAUCGGACACAAUGGGACUGAGACACGGCCCAAACUCCUACGGGAGGCAGCAGGAGGGAAUCUUCGGCAAUGGACGAAAGUCUGACCGAGCAACGCCGCGGGAGUGAAGAAGGUUUUCGGAUCGUAAAACUCUGUUGGUAGAGAAGAACGUUGGUGAGAGUGGAAAGCUCAUCAAGUGACGGUAACUACCCAGAAAGGGACGGCUAACUACGUG
rnacentral:rRNA from 1 species